CUGGCUACAUGAUGAAUAAAAUCAAAUCACCAUCUUUCGGCUGAGCUCUUGAUGGAUUUGCUUUUUUCUGACAAAGCCAG
rnacentral:snoRNA from 2 species